rnacentral:tRNA from 2 species
AAAAAGAUAAGCUAAUUAAGCUAUUGGGUUCAUACCCCGCUUAUAAAGGUCCCUACCCCUUUUCUUUUUA